ACUCCUACGGGGGGCAGCAGUGGGCAAUAUUGGACAAUGUGCGCAAGCCUGAUCCAGCCAUGCCGCGUGGGUGAUGAAGGCCCUUGGGUUGUAAAGCCCUUUCGGCGGGGAAGAUAAUGA
rnacentral:rRNA from 1 species